UAACGUUUCCGUUUCCUAAACGGAAACCAUUAUCAAAGACUAUGAAUCUAUUAAAAAUUAAUAAUGAAUCUAUUUUUAAUAGAUUCAUAGUCUUUGAUAAUGGUUUCCGUUUAGGAAAGCCGAAACGUU